UGCCCAACAACUCCUAUCCCUACCUCCUCGCGGUGGUCGUUGGCUGACUGGGAAGG
rnacentral:ribozyme from 1 species